rnacentral:rRNA from 1 species
AUUGAACGCUGGCGGCAGGCCUAACACAUGCAAGUCGAGCGGAUGAAGGGAGCUUGCUCCUGGAUUCAGCGGCGGUCGGGUGAGUAAUGCCUAGGAAUCUGCCUGGUAGUGGGGGAUAACGUCCGCAACCGGGCGCUAAUACCGCAUACGUCCUGAGGGAGAAAGUGGGGGAUCUUCGGACCUCACGCUCUCAGAUGAGCCUAGGUCGGAUUAGCUAGUUGGUGGGGUAAAGGCCUACCAAGGCGACGAUCCGUAACUGGUCUGAGAGGAUGAUCAGUCACACUGGAACUGAGACACGGUCCAGACUCCUACGGGAGGCAGCAGUGGGGAAUAUUGGACAAUGGGCGAAAGCCUGAUCCAGCCAUGCCGCGUGUGUGAAGAAGGUCUUCGGAUUGUAAAGCACUUUAAGUUGGGAGGAAGGGCAGUAAGUUAAUACCUUGCUGUUUUGACGUUACCAACAGAAUAAGCACCGGCUAACUUCGUG